UACGUAGGGGGCAAGCGUUGUCCGGAAUCAUUGGGCGUAAAGCGCGCGUAGGCGGCUCGAUCAGUCUGCUGUGAAAGUCAAAGGCUCAACCUUUGAAUGCCGGUGGAUACUGUCGAGCUAGAGUCCGGAAGAGGCGAGUGGAAUUCCUGGUGUAGCGGUGAAAUGCGCAGAUAUCAGGAGGAACACCAAUGGCGAAGGCAGCUCGCUGGGACGUGACUGACGCUGAGACGCGAAAGCGUGGGGAGCAAACGGG
rnacentral:rRNA from 1 species